AAAAAAUGCAUGGGAGCUCAAGGUCAACCCUUCCAAAUGUAGCGAUCAUGGUUGACUGAAGUACCUUUGGUCAGUAGAAGCAAGGAUUGGCUUAAUCUUGGUUGGUAGCUAUCGUAGCUUGUUCACAUCUUUGGCUUAGAGGUGGGAUUUUCUAUCCAUAUCAUAUACCCCCUACUCCCAAGUCCAAGCCAAGACUGGGUUGGAUGAAAGGAGUAUGCUUGCUUCUUUGGCCAAACUAAGGACAUGUAUCAUGUGCUUGGUCCUUC
rnacentral:lncRNA from 1 species